AACGAACGCUGGCGGCGCGCCUAAUACAUGCAAGUCGAGCGAGAAGGUGUAGCAAUACACUUGUAAAGCGGCGAACGGGUGAGGAAUACAUGGGUAAUCUACCAUCGAGUGGGGAAUAACCAACCGAAAGGUUGGCUAAUACCGCGUACGCCUCCGGGUCUUCGGGUUCGGAGGGAAAGUCUGCACUGUGAGUGUAGCGCUCUUUGAUGAGCUCAUGUCCUAUCAGCUUGUUGGUAGGGUAACGGCCUACCAAGGCUUUGACGGGUAGCUGGUCUGAGAGGACGAUCAGCCACACUGGCACUGCGACACGGGCCAGACUCCUACGGGAGGCAGCAGUAAGGAAUAUUGCGCAAUGGGCGAAAGCCUGACGCAGCGACGCCGCGUGGGGGAUGAAGGUCUUCGGAUUGUAAACCCCUUUCGGGAGGGAAGAUGGAGCGAGCAAUCGUUCGGACGGUACCUCCAGAAGCAGCCACGGCCAACUUCGUGCCAGCAGCCGC
rnacentral:rRNA from 1 species